CGGACGGGUGAGUAACACGUGGGUAACCUACCUAUAAGACUGGGACAACUUCGGGAAACCGGAGCUAAUACCGGAUAAGAUAUCGAACCGCAUGGUUCGAUAGUGAAAGAUGGUUUUGCUAUCACUUAUAGAUGGACCCGCGCUGUAUUAGCUAGUUGGUGAGGUAACGGCUCACCAAGGCAACGAUACGUAGCCGACCUGAGAGGGUGAUCGGCCACACUGUAACUGAGACACGGUCCAGACUCCUACGGGAGGCAGCAGAA
rnacentral:rRNA from 1 species